CUUGAUGGACCCCAGCCACAGGGGCUGGUCUGCGUCCCGCUCCCGCCCAUACGUGGCAAGCAGCGCCUGCGCCUC
rfam:Streptomyces autolyticus strain CGMCC0516, complete genome.